rfam:Nelumbo nucifera unplaced genomic scaffold scaffold00001, whole genome shotgun sequence
ACAACGGUGCCAUUAGGCACCACAUCAGCAUAACAAUGAAUAAUUG